CAUCAUAAGCAGACAAGGAUAUAGAUUCAAAGAACGAGGAUAUCUAACCAAACUCACUGAGUCAUUUUAUAACUGUACAGGAAAGUCAAAAUAAUUCUAUCACCUUGACAUAUGUUUUUUGCAGCACACCAUGGUAAUUUACACAUAAGUAUAGGAAAGGGUUUUUUAUUGUUUUUUUCUCUUUAAUUUUCACACCGAAUUAUACACACAGACACACACACAUAGAACAGGUACUUUCCAUGACACACCAACUCUUUACCAGAAAGAGUAGAAAAUAAUGAAUGACCAUUAUACCACACAACAACCUGCAAGUUGUUUAUCAUUUUCUCUGCUCUUUUUUUUUUUUUUUUUUUGAGUCUCUGUCGCCCAGACUGGAGUGGAAUGGUGGGAUCUCGACUCACUGCAACCUCCACCUCCUGGUUCAAGAGAUUCUCCUGCCUUGGCCUCCCGAGUAGCUAAAAUUACAGGCAUGUGCCACCAGGCCCAGCUAAUCUUUGUAAUUUUAAUAGAGACGGGGUUUCACCAUGCUGGCCAGGCUGGUCUCAAACUCCUGACUUCAACUGAUCUGACUCUCUAGCCUCCCAAAGUGCUGGGAUUACAGGCGUGAGCCACCACGCCCAGCCCAUUUUCUCUGUUUUAAAGAGUAAAUCAAGGUUCCUAGGGUUGAAACAACUCUCCAUGUUCUCACAAAUAAAAAGCCAGGAUAAAGACUAGUAAUUUGGCUUCUAGAGCCAAUACCUUGUCCUUGACCAUAGCAUAUUUCUUCAAUAAAUCCAUGAGAUUCUUUCAUGGCUAAAACAUCUGAAAGUGAUAAAUGUCUAAAUCAGACAUUUCCAAAGGAAUUUCUGUAGCCUGAAUUUCAUGGUGACCAUAGCACCACUGAUGGCUAGAAUCUGUAUUUUAGCGAUAAAGGAGGAGAAACAAGUUGAACUACAUUUUAAACUCCACAAGGAUAGAGACUUUAUCACACCACUAUGUACCCAAGCCUAAUCCAUAAUGGGCACUCAAAUACUUACUGAAUGACUAAAUGAAAAGAUGGAUGAACAUCUCUAUAAACUAUGGAAAGAAAAUGCUGAUAAAGCAUUUGCCAGAAAUUACUUCACUAGUGCCACACACGGACAGAAUUGAGGACAUUUAGACUUUUUUGUUUGUUUGAGAUGGAGUCUCAUUCUGUCGCUCAGGCUGGAGUGCAGUGGUGCUAUCUCAGCUCAUGCCUGUAAUCCCAACACUUUGGGAGGCUGAGGCGGGUGGAUCACCAAGUCAGGAGUCCAAGACCAGCCUGAUCAAUAUGUAAAACCCCAUCUGUACUAAAAAUGCAAAAAUUAGCCUGGCGUGAUGGCACGUGCCUGUAGUCCCAGCUACUUGGGAGGGUGAGGCAGGAGAAACGCUUGAACCAGGGAGGCAGAGGUUGCAGUGAGCCAAGAUUGUGGCACUGCACUCCAGCCUGGGCAAGACUCUGUCUCAAAAAAUAAAAAAAUAAAUAAAAUUAAAAAGUCUGGAAAGUAAAGGGAAGAAUGAAUACAAUUUAGUUAAGAAUACUGCCAGGAUUAAACAAACAAAAAAUCAAUCUUGGAUUGGUUCAUCUUUAUUUCUAGAAAUAAUACUAUAUACCUUA
rnacentral:lncRNA from 10 species